AUGUCAUUCAAAUGUAUCAUGUUACACAGGUAAUACUGGUCGUUAUUGAAGUAAAACAAAAUCUAUUAAAUGAAGUCAUAGCAUGUUGGAUUUAAACCUUUGCAGAGAAUUUCCCAACUUGUGAAAUAAUCUCACAACAUCAGAAGACAAAGUUUGGCGACUUUUAUAAACCGGUAAAUUCGAUGGACUGUUAGAAAAAAAGCAAUAUAUCAAGAUCAAAAUUAUCAACUGCACAUGCAAUCUGUAUAAUAUAACGGCACUAUCAAAUGUGGAUUAAUUUUGCUGAAAAACAAAUAAAAAAGUAAUUUCAGGAGAAUUUUCCAACUUGUGAAAUAAUCUCUCACAACAUCAGAAGAAACAGUUUGGCGACUUUUAUAAACCGGUAAAUUCGAUGGACUAUUAGAAAAAAAGCAAUAUAUCAAGAUCAAGAUUAUCAACUGCACAUGCUAUCUGUCUAAUAUAACGGCACUAUUAAAUGUGGUUUAAUUUUGCUGAAAAACAAAUAAAAAAGGAGAAUUUCUCAACUUGUGGAAUAAUAUCUAAACAGAAGAACAAAAACUUUCGGCGACUUUUACAAGGUGAUACUAACAUGUUGGAAAUGUCGCUGGAUCACUUUGAUAAACUAAAAAAUCAACAACGAAUUGAGGAAAGUGACAAAGCUGUUAUUUAUUACUCCAGACCUUUUGAUAUCAUUUAUGUUAAUGAUAGAAACACUUUAAUUGACUGCUUUAUGAGAUUAAACAAUAUUGAAUAUAAAUAGACAUGUUUUUAUUUCACCAAAUAAUAUAAAAUUAUACUGUAUAUCUGGAAAUAUUGUGCAACUUAAUCGGUAGUUAUUGUACCCCAAUGUUUUUGUUCAUUGAAAUGGAUUGUACUUGGCCAUGAAAGGAGAAAAAAAUAAAAGCAGUGAUUAUUUAACUUUUCAAAGGCCCAAACUGCAUACAAAAUUUGAUGCAAAAGUAACCUGAUAUACGGUGUAUUGGUACAUGUGCAUUAUCAUUGUGUGUUAACAUUUACUUGGUGCAAUGCAAUUGAUUACAAUAAUAUACAGUCCGCCAAAAGUUAAGCACCACCUAUUUUUAUUGCAUAGAUUUUUUUGCAAAUUAAAAAAAUCAAUUAUUCCACAAAAAAAAGAAAACAAUCAUUUAGCAAUUUUGCUUAUGUAUACCAUAAACAAACCAGAAAUGUAAUUUUAGUCACUUAUAAAGGUUUUAUGCAUGUAGGUUUUCCGUUCAUAGAAAUAGUGUGAAUUACACAAUUCAGAAACAUAAUUUAAGUUUCAGUGUGAUUUUACUUUUUUACAACAAUUGAUCACCCAAUAUUAAUAAAAUUUUCUACACAUUA